GUUUUUAUAGCUUAUAAUAUAGAGCACAUCAGUGAAGUUGGUGGGGAAAUUUAUAUUUAAAAACA